rnacentral:lncRNA from 1 species
UGAAAUUUGGCCUUGAUACGCGGGUAGUUCACACGGUGACACAAUGCGGCUUCGAAUAAGUUUCACUCGGGGAUGAAGGAACAGCAGAAGUUUGACCUCACGAAAAAUAUCUUCGACCCGAUAGCUCCUUUUCGGGGAGAUGGGAGCAAUUCUCCAAUGAAGCUCUCUAAAGACGGUUCCGGGGAUUCGUUGAUGAAGCUACAAUUUAGAGUCUUGCUUGGUCUUUAAUCGCCUCUGAAAUAUUCGAGAUUCACUCCUAUCCAAUAUGUCUGACACUUAUUUCACAACCGGCGAGUAUUUUGGCUACUAAUAACCACCGAAAGCAACAUGUGAAAGUGGAGCUAGGGAUGUGAAAGUUAGGCUCGGCCGCUCGGGCUAUAAAUACCUCUGGUACUCUCACUUGUAGAUUCAUUCAAUGUUAUGCUUUACUUAUUCAUCACUUGAAGCUACUCUUGUCAGGUUGGGCAAUCGAUCAUUACUUUCCAACAUUAUGGCUAAUAAUAAAUCUCAAUAAGAUUUUUCUUUUUUUUUGCUUACCUACUUUAAUCACGUUGUUAUCAGGGGCGGCAGUGGCGGACCCAAGAUUUUAUGCAAGCGGGUUCAGUCGGAGAACUCCAUAACUAACAUAAGCUGUAUAAACGGGUUCAAAAAUAAUUUCUAUACAAAAUUUACCUUGCUUUAGCCAUAAUUUAUACAUAUACACAGUAUUAUUUUUUGACGAAGCGGGUUCAGUUGAACCCCCUUCUCACCACUUGGGUCCGCCUCUGAGAGGCGGAUGUAUAGGUAAGAUGACGGGACACGUGAACCCAUGAUCUGUCGGCAAAAUUAAAUAUUUUGUGUACAUGUUAUUUAAAAUUAGCAUAAUAUUAACUGUUGGCACCCAUGCUCCAAGAAGGUUGAAUGGGGCACUUGGUUGAAGGUUGUGUUAUUUAUCUAGAGGAAUAGGAAUCAAUUCCACUUCAUACAUUUUUUCUUAUUGUUUUUAGUUGUGCACCUAUGUACUAAAAAUCUUAGAUCCGUCUUUGGUUGUUAUCAUCGUUCAUUGCUUAUUUAGCCUAGCCAAGUAAUUUAUUAGAUCAAGCUCUUAUUUGAACCGAUUGUUUGUGACCUCAUCAAAUAAUAAUUCAAUUGUCCUUCUUCCUCCUUUAUUUUUAUUGUUGAUUUAUUUUACUUUGAG